rnacentral:rRNA from 1 species
UACGAAGGGUGCAAACGUUGCUCGGAAUUAUUGGGCGUAAAGCGCACGUAGGCGGCUUUGCAAGUCCCAUGUGAAAUCCCACGGCUUAACUGGGAAACUGCAUCGGAAACUGAUCGGCUUGAAGGUGGGAGAGGCGAGUGGAAUUCCUGGUGUAGCGGUGGAAUGCGCAGAUAUCAGGAGGAACACCAACGGCGAAGGCAGCUCGCUGGGACGGUACUGACGCUGAGGCGCGAAAGCGUGGGGAGCAAACAGG